UACGGGGGGGGCAAGCGUUGUUCGGAAUUACUGGGCGUAAAGGGUUCGUAGGUGGCCAACUAAGUCAGACGUGAAAUCCCUCAGCUUAACUGGGGAACUGCGUCUGAUACUGGUUGGCUUGAGUGCAGGAGAGGAACGCGGAAUUCCAGGUGUAGCGGUGAAAUGCGUAGAUAUCUGGAGGAACACCGGUGGCGAAGGCGGCGUUCUGGACUGCAACUGACACUGAGGAACGAAAGCCAGGGGAGCAAACGG
rnacentral:rRNA from 1 species